AUUGAACGCUGGCGGCAGGCUUAACACAUGCAAGUCGAGCGGAGAUGAGGUGCUUGCACCUUAUCUUAGCGGCGGACGGGUGAGUAAUGCUUAGGAAUCUGCCUAUUAGUGGGGGACAACAUUCCGAAAGGAAUGCUAAUACCGCAUACGUCCUACGGGAGAAAGCAGGGGAUCUUCGGACCUUGCGCUAAUAGAUGAGCCUAAGUCGGAUUAGCUAGUUGGUGGGGUAAAGGCCCACCAAGGCGACGAUCUGUAGCGGGUCUGAGAGGAUGAGCCGCCACACUGGGACGGAGACACGGCCAAGACUCCUACGGGAGGCAGCAGUGGGGAAUAUUGGACAAUGGGGGAAACCCUGAUCCAGCCAUGCCGCGUGUGUGAAGAAGGCCUUAUGGUUGUAAAGCACUUUAAGCGAGGAGGAGGCUACUGAGACUAAUACUCUUGGAUAGUGGACGUUACUCGCAGAAUAAGCACCGGCUAACUCUGUGCCAGCAGCCGCCGUAA
rnacentral:rRNA from 1 species